rnacentral:rRNA from 1 species
UUUGAUGGCGACCGGCGCACGGGUGAGUAACACGUAUCCAACCUGCCGAUGACUCGGGGAUAGCCUUUCGAAAGAAAGAUUAAUACCCGAUGGCAUAGUUCUUCCGCAUGGUAGAACUAUUAAAGAAUUUCGGUCAUCGAUGGGGAUGCGUUCCAUUAGAUAGUAGGCGGGGUAACGGCCCACCUAGUCUUCGAUGGGUAGGGGUUCUGAGAGGAAGGUCCCCCACAUUGGAACUGAGACACGGUCCAA